UAACCUGCUAAAUAGUUACGCUAACUUUGGUUGGUGAUUAACUUCUUAGAGGGACUAUAGACGUUUAGUCUAUGGAAGUUUGAGGCAAUAACAGGUCUGUGAUGCCCUUAGAUGUUCUGGGCCGCACGCGCGCUACACUGAUAACAGCAGCAAGUAAUUCACCUUAGCCGAAAGGUUUGGGUAAUCUUCUGAAAUGUUAUCGUGCUGGGGAUAGUCCUUUGCAAUUAUUGGACUUAAACGAGGAAUUCCUAGUAAGCGUGAGUCAUCAGCUCGCGUUGAUUACGUCCCUGCCCUUUGUACACACCGCCCGUCGCU
rnacentral:rRNA from 1 species